CAGUAGCCGCGGUAAUACGAAGGGUGCAAGCGUUAAUCGGAAUUACUGGGCAUAAAGCGUGCGUAGGCGGUGAGUUAAGUCUGCUGUGAAAUCCCCGGGCUCAACCUGGGAAUGGCAGUGGAUACUGGCUCGCUAGAGUGUGUCAGAGGAUGGUGGAAUUCCCGGUGUAGCGGUGAAAUGCGUAGAGAUCGGGAGGAACAUCAGUGGCGAAGGCGGCCAUCUGGGACAACACUGACGCUGAGGCACGAAAGCGUGGGGAGCAAACAGGAUUAGAUACCCCCGUAGUCCCUGUCUCUUAUAC
rnacentral:rRNA from 1 species